rnacentral:tRNA from 1 species
AACUUCGUCCGUUGCAAGCUCACUUUGGAAACCAUGCAUCCGGGCGAUCAACUCGAUGUUGAUCUCGAUCGUGGUGAACCCG